UCGAGCGGAUGACGGGAGCUGCUCCCNUGAUUCAGCGGCGGACGGGUGAGUAAUGCCUAGGAAUCUGCCUGGUAGUGGGGGACAACGUUUCGAAAGGAACGCUAAUACCGCAUACGUCCUACGGGAGAAAGCAGGGGACCUUCGGGCCUUGCGCUAUCAGAUGAGCCUAGGUCGGAUUAGCUAGUUGGUGGGGUAAUGGCUCACCAAGGCGACGAUCCGUAACUGGUCUGAGAGGAUGAUCAGUCACACUGGAACUGAGACACGGUCCAGACUCCUACGGGAGGCAGCAGUGGGGAAUAUUGGACAAUGGGCGAAAGCCUGAUCCAGCCAUGCCGCGUGUGCAAAGAAGGUCUUCGGAUUGUAAAGCACUUUAAGUUGGGAGGAAGGGCAGUAAGUUAAUACCUUGCUGUUUUGACGUUACCGACAGAAUAAGCACCGGCUAACUCUGUG
rnacentral:rRNA from 1 species